AGGACGAACGCUGGCGGCGUGCUUAACACAUGCAAGUCGAGCGGUAAGGCUCCUUCGGGAGUACACGAGCGGCGAACGGGUGAGUAACACGUGAGCAAUCUGCCCUUCACAUCGGAAUAACCAUUGGAAACGAUGGCUAAUACCGAAUACGACUUCGGACUGCAUGGUCUGAAGUGGAAAGCUCCGGCGGUGAAGGAUGAGCUCGCGGCCUAUCAGCUUGUUGGUGAGGUAAUAGCUCACCAAGGCGAUGACGGGUAGCCGGCCUGAGAGGGUGACCGGCCACACUGGGACUGAGACACGGCCCAGACUCCUACGGGAGGCAGCAGUGGGGAAUAUUGGACAAGUGGGACGAAAGCCUAGAUCCAGCAACGCCGCGUGAGGGAUGGACGGCCUUCGGUUGUAACCUCUUUCGAGUCGGGACGAAGCGAAGUGACGGUACCGCGAGAAGAACGCGACCGGACCAACGUACGUCGACCAGCCACGUCCGAC
rnacentral:rRNA from 1 species